rnacentral:lncRNA from 1 species
GGCACCGGCUGCCCCUCUGCCCCCGGCUCCCGCUCCGCUGCCUCCCGGCGCUCCCCAGCAGCGCGCAGUUAACCCGCUUUGCAGCAGGGGCUGCGUGCUGCCGCAGAGCAGGGCCUUGAGGUCACUCGGAGGCACUGAUCAUAUCGAUUUGAUUGCUGGCUUUGCUCUCGGCAGGCCGUUUCGCAGCGCGUUUUUUUUUUUUUUUCUCUUUUCUCUAUUUUUUUUUUUUUUUUUUAAGGACGGGAAGGAGGGAAAGUGGCAACGUGAGGAGACAAUUAGUGUUGUGUCUGAGGGUCGGGAGGUUGCGGGGAAAGCCAGCGUGUUGGGAGCCUGGGGACGACAGAUUACUUCUGUCCUAGGGGUGUUUCCCAAAAACACAGCCGGCGAAACUUUCUGUGAUAAAGUAAUAUAUCUUCGCCUGCUGUUUGGAGAUAAGCACUGCUGCUGAUCGUGAGGGCAAGAGAAGAGUUUCAUCCAGUCCUCAAUAGGAUUUCAAGUCCAAAAAUUAACGAAUUUCCCUUUCUGUAUUCGUGUAAUGGAGUAAUUUUGAAACCUGUUUUGAGACUUCUACUUGACUUGACUUGUUUUAUUGACGUGCUUGUGCCCACUCAUUUAAUUAAGCCAUUAUACCAUAAAGUAAAUAAUAAGAAUGAAUGUGAGAUAUGUGCGUGCAGUCUGCCAUUAUAUACAAAUAUUUCCCUGGAAAAGACACUUUAAAAACUUUUUCAGCACACCGUGAGCUCUUUGGCAAAAUCUCACCGCAGGUUUUUGCUCUGAGCCAGGAUAUUUCGCGUGUUUCUGUUCUCGCAGUGUUAUACGCACUCUCUACUCGGAAUAUAAACAGCGAGCGUACCUAGCUGCUCAUUCUAGUAAAACUAAGAAAUAAUCUAUUUAUAGUGAGUACAUUUAAAGGAAAAUCAUGAGGUCAUUUGGAGUAUGCUGCAGUUUGAAGUAGCUCGACACCUGGCACAAACCACAUACGCGUUUUCUUCAGACUCUGCGCUAUCCAUAACUUUUCCUUAUAAUACAUUCUUGUGUUAAGUGAGAAAGGCUGUUUGUAAAACAAUCCCCUGGCUGGUUCCAGUGUUGGGUGAAGCUGAUCCUGUAAUGGCAUUUUGUUUUGAACAGUUGCUGUAGUUGAAGUUCCCUCAUAAGGUAAGGUGGCACUGGGUCUGAAAGGAGGUCCAAAUGCCACAUUUAUAAUUAGACUGCCAAUUCAGCACAUUGUAUCUAUUGCUAUACAGGGAUAUACUGCUGUGUCUGGUCUCUCAAUAGACUGUAUUCAGAAUUAGCCAAUUCAACCGCUUCAACUUCGGAGUCAAAUUUAGAAUAGGCAAUGAGAGAAGGAAAGAAAGAAAACAAUAAUGCUUUCUUUUUUCCUCGGCUAGCUAUUAAAAGCCAAAGAAUAUACGGAAACCGAAGCAGGCACACACAGCGCCCGGUCCCAA